CAAAUCUACAGUAUAAUAUAAAUUAUCAAUCGUAAAUUUAAUUAUAACUAUCUGUUGAACAGAUUAAAUAAUAUAAUAUAAUUAAAUUUAUGAGUGAUAAUUUAUAUUAUACCUAGUGUAGAUUUGUUUCUGGAUCAACCAACCCCCUUCUCAUCCAAAGGUAUAUCUUCAUUUACACAACCUUAAGAUUAGUAUCAACCGAGGGAAUAGAUUCAGAUUAAAUAGAUACACCUAUUGUUCCAUUAACCUGAUCAAGGUAAAAAAAAAAAAACAAAAAGUAACUGCUAAUUGGACUAGAUUUCAGGUUUUAUUCUGGGAAUUUCUGUCUAAAUUGCGUAAUUAGAUACUUCAAAAAGCAACUACUUGGUCUUCACCGCAACCUUGACAUGGUAGGUGACAAUUUGGAUUCUGAACAUGACUGUCACAUUGGAAAGUCUUUUCGUUCAACUGGUAUCAAUCCUUGACAUUUGAUACUUUUGAUGGAAGGAUUUUUUCUGCAUGGUUUUGGAAAUAGGUGGAAGCAGGCAAAGAAUAUCCAACGAUAUAACGGACAAAGAUGCUAGCUAGGCUCGGUUGCAAAUUUAAAUCUAUUUAUGUUUAAACUAAUUAAAAUAUAUACAUUUUUAUACAUCCUUAAUAGCUUUAUUAUUUUA